rnacentral:tRNA from 1 species
GGGGAUAUAGCUCAGUUGGUAGAGUGCUUGUCUCACAUGCACAAGGCCAUGGGGCCAUGGAUUCAAUGUCCUAUUCCCA